rnacentral:rRNA from 1 species
GAUGAACGCUGGCGGCGUGCUUAACACAUGCAAGUCGAACGAUGAAGCCCAGCUUGCUGGGUGGAUUAGUGGCGAACGGGUGAGUAACACGUGAGUAACCUGCCCUUGACUCUGGGAUAAGCGCUGGAAACGGCGUCUAAUACCGGAUACGAGCUUCCACCGCAUGGUGAGUUGCUGGAAAGAAUUUCGGUCAAGGAUGGACUCGCGGCCUAUCAGGUAGUUGGUGAGGUAACGGCUCACCAAGCCGACGACGGGUAGCCGGCCUGAGAGGGUGACCGGCCACACUGGGACUGAGACACGGCCCAGACUCCUACGGGAGGCAGCAGUGGGGAAUAUUGCACAAUGGGCGCAAGCCUGAUGCAGCAACGCCGCGUGAGGGACGAGGGCCUUCGGGUCGUAAACCUCUUUUAGCAGGGAAGAAGCGAAAGUGACGGUACCUGCAGAAAAAGCACCGGCUAACUACGUG